rnacentral:ncRNA from 1 species
CUGCAUGAAGACCGGUGUUCGGCGCCUGUUCCACAGCACGUCGUUCUGAGAAUAUACGGUUGAACUUGAUCUGGAUAAUUCCAGCGAAAGAACCUCAUGCGCGCUUCUG